rnacentral:rRNA from 1 species
UGUUCCUACGGGGCGCAGCAGUGGGGGACAUUGCACAAUGGGGGAAACCCUGAUGCAGCGACGCCGCGUGGGCGAAGAAGUAUUUCGGUAUGUAAAGCCCUAUCGGCAGGGAAGAAAUUGGACGGUACCUGACUAAGAAGCCCCGGCUAACUACGUGCCAGCAGCCGCGGUAAUACGUAGGAGGCAAGCGUUAUCCGGAUUCACUGGGUGUAAAGGGAGCGUAGACGGCCAUGCAAGCCUGGAGUGAAAGACCG